CCCUUAGAUGUCCUGGGCCGCACGCGCGCUACACUGUUCGACGCAGCGAGUCUUAACCUUGACCGAAAGGUUUGGGUAAUCUUCAGCAAAGUCGAACGUGAUGGGGAUCGAUCAUUGCAAUUAUUGAUCGUGAACGAGGAAUUCCUAGUAAGUGCAAGUCAUCAGCUUGCGCUGAUUACGUCCCUGCCCUUUGUACACACCGCCCGUCGCUACUACCGAUUGAAUGGUUUAGUGAGAUCUCUGGAUUGACGCUGGCUAGGGGGCGACCCUUGGCCAGGCUGUCGAGAAACUGCUCAAACUUGAUCAUUUAGAGGAAGUAAAAGUCGUAACA
rnacentral:rRNA from 1 species